rnacentral:tRNA from 1 species
ACCCGUCUAGCUAAGUCGGUAGAGCGCUGGCCUUGUAAGCCAGUGGUCGUGGGUUCGAGCCCCACGGGGGGUG